AGGUGGAGGAGAGAGAGUUCAGACUUGUAUUCCAGGACUGGUCUGUGUGUGUGUUUGUGUGUGUGUGUGUGUGUGGUGUGGUGGUGGUGGUGGUGGUGGUGGUCACUCAGUCAACAUUGAACCAUGAAACGGAGUGGAGUGGACUCUCUCUCUCUCUCUCUCUCUCUCUCUCUCUCUCUGAAAAAGUGGACACAUUUAGUUCCGUCUCUCAGUCUCAGUCACUUGUCUCUCUCCUUGACUGACUGACUGACUGACUGACUGAACAGAGACUUACUUGACUGCUGCAACCCCUAGGACGUGACUGACUGGACGUGACUGACAAGAUUGGCUGACUGGACUGACUCAUGACGUGUGGUGUGGUGGAGUGUGGUGUGGUGUGAGUGUGGUGUGGUGUGUUAUGAAGUGAUGCUGUGAACGGUGUUGUGGUGAUUGACAGACGGACAGACAGACAGAUAAACAGACAGACAGACAAUAAAGACGGAAUGAGAGAAAUGGACAAAUAGAUGAACGAGUAGAGAGAGGGAGAGAGAGAGAGAGAGAGAGAGAGAGAGAGAGAGAGAGAGAGAGAGAGAGAGAGAGAGAGAGAGAAACCCCGUCCUUGAAAUAAACUAAUAAUCUGAUGUGUAAUAUAAACAAACACAUUUAAACUCACUGUAUUAUUCAUUCAUUCAUCUCCUCCCUCUCCCUCCCUCCCCCCCUCCUUCCCUCCCUCCCUCCCUCCAUUCUCUCACGUGCGGGAGGAAAGAGAGAGAACGUAGAGGAAUGACUGCAGUGAAGUGUGUGUGUGUGUGUGUGUGUGUGUGUGUGUGUGUGUGUGUGUGUGUGUGUGUGUGUGUGUGUGUGUACUAUACUCCCAUACAGUGUCUUCUAUCUAACAGUGACUUAAGCACUCUCUCUCUCUUCGCCCCACCACGAUAUUGUUACAGUGACUCAACAGUGCAGCCUUCUGACGCAAGAGUAUCCUAUACGAGUAUGUACAUUACCGGACAGUGCCAAAGUAUAUAUGACAGUGCCAGGAUUAUAUACAGUGCCUGUGACUGACUGACUGACACGAGAAAUAGAGAAAAUGCAUCUUGUCACUGUUACAUAGACAAGUUAACCGCACCACAAGAGGAGACAAGACCUGACGAGAGAUUCAAACCUUUGCCAGUAUCCUGCAACACUCUGCUCCCCCACCUCACUAUUUUCCAAGGCCACAGAGAUGAUUAGCCGGGUUCUCAAGCCUGUUUAUCCUGUCAGUAAUGUUGAAGUCUUGUUAAUCUGUCACUAGAAACGUUAAAACACCCUUAAAAACCAGUGCAACUUCAACUAAACCCCUUUGAAAUGUAAAACACCCUUAAAAAUCCGUGUCACUUCAAUUAGAGCCUUUUGAACCGUAGAAGCACCCUUGAAAACCAGUGCAACUUCAACUAAACCCCUUUCAAAUGUAAAACACCCUUAAAAAUCCGUGUCACUUCAAUUAGAGCCUUUUGAACCGUAGAAACACCCUUGAAAACCAGUGCAACUUCAACUACAGCCUUUGGAAAGUAGUGGAGGUCCGGCUCAGUGUUUCAUAUUGCGGUCCAUAGAGAGAGAGGAGACUGCAUGCUUUUUUCUCCUGUUCCUACUCCUGCGUUACCUUCCCCGACCGCCACCACGUUCCCUGUAGGGCUGAACACACGGCCGACAACCCCACAGGACCGACAAUAGACGGGUCGGUGGGAUUAUCGUCCGUUUGGAAGGUCUGAGAGGCGCCAGUGCGUGAGGUGAAUGCGUGAGAAGAAUGAUUCGAGGCUUGACGCAAAGAAAGGUGUGAAUUUUGGAGUAGAAAACGAGAGAAAUUGAUGAAAAGAGACUGGAUGAUGAGAGAGAAGAAUUUAGCCAUUGGAAAGUGUAAAAGUGUAAGAAAAUGGAACUGGAGGAGGAGAAGAGGUAUUUAGAAAAGACUUCGAGACUUGGAGAGAAAGAACGAUGUAAAUUUUGAGAUGGAAAAAGGAGAUUGGUGGAAGAAAAGAGACUUGUGGGUGGAAAGGAGAUUGAUGCAUGAAAGAUAAUUGGCAAAAAAGAAGUCUGUAAUUUGGCCAGAAAGAAAGCAGCAAAUUUAGACGAAAAAAAGAAAGAAUAUGAAAGUGAAAAAUAUGACGAGGAAGGUGUGAAGAGAUCUGCACCGCACCGCCACUACUUUCCAAAGGCUUUAGUUGAAGUGACAGGUUUUUAAGGGCGUUUCUUUGGUUCAGUGAUAGAUUAACAACAUCUCUACAUCAUGAAGAGGGGAAACGCUCUUGAGGACCCGGCUAAUCAUCUCUGAGGCCUUUGGAAAUAGUCGUAGGGAGAGAGUAGAGCAUUUGUGAUGAAUACGGAAGUGUGAGACGCCGCUCGGGAGGUCGCAGCGUUGAAGGCUGUGACCUCACCUGAGUGGCAUGACCAGUUCAUAGGGAUGGCUUGGUGACCCGGGGACCUGCUGGAGGGAGAUGGUGAUCCCGGCUGCCCUGGUGACCCUACACUCUGGCUGGUGGUCAGGGCUGGCCUCACACUGCCGGCCACACAGCGGCCAUGAGCACUGGGAACAUCUGGGGAGAGGCAGAGUUGCCACCACCACCACCACUACCCUCUUCAACCUCCUCCUCUUCUUCCUCUUUCUUCUAUCAUCUCAACCUGCCCUCUCUCCUCCUCCUCCCUCACCUGUAGUCCCCCGAGGUCCUCCUGUAGCAGCCGAG